GCCUGGCUAGCUCAGUCCACAGAGCAUUGGACUCUUAAUCCCAGGGUUGUGGGUUUAUGCCCCACAUUGGGCA
rfam:Neotoma lepida isolate 417 scaffold_24514, whole genome shotgun sequence.